rnacentral:ribozyme from 1 species
UAAAAAAAAAAGGGAGAAGAGUACAAAGAAGAAGGCGACACAAUCCCGAAAUUCGUGUACUCUAUCCUUCCUUUUUUCCCUUCCUUCU